ACAACCACAUGAAGGCGCACAACCAUCUGAACAGCUACAGUGUACUUACAUACAUAAAGAUAAAUGAAUAAAUCUUAAAAAAAGAAAGUGGUAAACUUGUAAGAGUUGAAGGCUGGGGGAGUCAGGGACAGAUUAUCUUUUUAAAUUAUUGCACCUUAGAUAAACCUCAUUGGCUACAGUACUGCCACUGUGCAAAGUUAGAUUAUCUUUUUUAAUUUAAUAAUUAUUUAUUUUAAUCAUUUAAGAUACUUAAUUUUGCCUGUAUGAUUGUGUUGCCUAUGUAUAUGUUCAUGCACCAUAUGGGUACAAUACCUAUGGAGGCCAGAAGAGGGCAUCAGAUUCCUCGGGACAGAAGCUAGAGAGGGUUGUGAGUUAUGGAGUGGGUGCUGGGAAUUGAACCUAGAUCCGUGGAAGAGCAGAGGGCGCUCUUAACUGCUAGGUCAUCUCGCCAACCUUCAGGUAGGUAGCUGUUUUGGAGGUGUUUUGGUAAACUUAGAUGAAAUCUUGAGUUCUCAGCAUUUUAUGAGGCAAGUAUAUACUUUAUGUUAUGUGUAGGUUUGUGUAGGUUUGUUUGUUUGUUUAUUUCUGUGUGUCUGUGGAGGUCAGAGGGUAACAUCCAGGUCACUUCUCUCCUUCUACCACUGUGGGUCCCAAGGAUCAUACUCAGGCCGUCAGGCCUGAUGAUGGCUGCCUUUACCCACUGAGCCAUCUGGCCAGCCUGGGAUACGCAGAUCAUACAACACUCUCUUAUUAAUCUCCUUAGGGAUGUUGUAAGGUUUAAAAAUAUUUCCCGAGGUUCUUUAUUUGAAUUAGACACAUUGUUAUUUACUAGAUAUAAACCUUAGUUUAAUGAUGGGGGAGAAGAUAUAUACUUUUUAUUUAUAUUUAUUUAUGCAUGUGUCUAUGACAUCUGUAUGUUUUUACUUUACAUUCUAGUAGUUGAAUAGUGAGCUUGGUGGAUUCAAAAUUCUAGGAGGUUCCAUUAUAACACUGUGGUUUUACUGUAUUUAACUUAAUUCAAAAUAUUCUUAUUAAGCAGCUUCUAAAUGCCUGGCCUUGUACCUUUAUUUUAUUUAUUUUUUUCAAAGGUUUAUUUAUUUUAUAUAUAUGAGUAUACUGAUACUGACUUCAGACUUCCCAGAAGAGGGCAUCAGAUCUCAUUACAGAUGGUUGUGAGCCACCAUGUGAUUGCUGGGAAUUGAACUUAGGACCUCUAGAAGAGCAGUGAGCACUCUUAGCUGUUGAACCAUCUAGCCAGCCCUAAAUUUAUUUUAUUUUAUUUUAUUGAGACAGGUUCUUUUUAUGUAGUUCUGGCUGUCCUGGAACUUGCCAUGUAGACCAGGCUGAACCCAAAUUCACAGAGUCUCCUGCUUCUGCCUCUUGAAUGCUGGGAUUAAAGACAUGUGCUAUCCCUCCCCUGGGCAGCACAGUAGAGCUGGCCCUGGUGGCAUGGGUGCAGGUGAGUGAGCCCCGCCCCUAGCUGACUGCAGCACACAGCACUCACCAUUCAGGAGAGCUGGCCCUGGUAGCAUGGGGAAAGGAGAGCUAGUCCCAUCUUUUUGCAGGUUGCUGCAGGCAGGGGAGCAGGAGAGCUCUUGGGCUGACCAACUCUGCUUCUACCCAGGCCCAGAUCCAGGACUUUGAGUUGGCCCACCCCAACAUCUAUCUAUCUACGAACUGCUGGAGUGUGUGAAGGGGUUAAGAUCUCCAUGACACAGGGCAACAACAGGCUAUCCAAGAGGAGUCCCAGUGAGAAUCCAGUAUUGGUAGAGUAGCAGAAGCCAGAGGCCUCAAAACAUGCCAUUGACGCACUGCAAUGAACAUUUGCAAGGAAAGCUGUUUGGGUAGAGGGGCAUACUGCGGGACACACCACAGCUUCCAUGGAUGUUUGAUCAUGCCUUCCUCCUGUAGCUCUAUAUUUAAAAGAGUAAAGAAUCUACUGUUUGAUAUUUAUG
rnacentral:lncRNA from 1 species